UGAGACAACAACAUUCGAUACAACGAACGUUUCAUGUUCAGAUGGUACUGGAAGGACAUUUUUAAAUGGUUACUGAUAGAAUAUUUAUUCGGUGAUGUAGCUUUGUCUAUUCUAAUGUUACCAAUUUUAUAUCUCUGACGUAACCAGAUCAAUAUUACAACAAUAGGAUCGAAAGUGUCCAUAUGAAACUCGAGAUGAAUGUACGUCAUUCUCUCUAUUUUCAAGCAAGGGGGCGGCAAUGAUAACAUUUGUUGAUACACGGUAAUAACUGUUAUUUGACGUGUUUAAACACGAGUCGUAUAGUAUAGCAAUCAUGUAUCUGGCUGUAUCGCGUACCCUGAGUAGGGUAUUGUCCCGACAGACUGCAGUGCCAAGGUGAGUUGUAACAUGCACUGUGUGCAUAGUUAGCAAUGUUGUUUAGUAUAGGCAAGCGAACGUUGUUACAGCAGUUGAACAUGUAUUAUUCUACAUGUAGCUACAUUUUGUAUUUAAUUUUCUCAUAGUUGUCGUCCAGUUGUAUGCUAAAACCUGAGCCAGUUAUCUAGCUAAGUUAUCUAUUCACUGCAGUGCUGUUACAGUGGCUAGAUUUAGCUAACUAGUACUCCCCUUCCUCUGACUUACUAUGUUCUGAACAGCUCUUUGAUUGGAGUGAAUGGUCAAGUCAGACAAGGUCCUUGUUGUCUACAAAGGGUUUGUUCUCUGGUCCACUUUAGUUUCAGUCGUCUACUCUGUUUGCUACAGGCUCAACUCUCACUCAUUCUGCCUAUGUGUGCCCUUACAGGGCAGAGCCAAAGAAGAAGAAAGUGGACUCUUGUAAAGAGCAGAUGGUUCCUCCUGAGCUCAUUCCCAUAGAUUACUUCAUAUCCAUGCAUUUGGCAGGGGUUGAGGCCAGGUUUGGCUCACACAUCUUGAGCUUGAAUUAAUGGAGUGGUUGAUAUUUCCAUCAGGGCACAAAAAUCUGGGCACCACCAUCAGAGAUACUAUGGGUGCGCUGUGUUCCUCGGCUUCCCUUUGAGGUGAGUGAAUGACGGGCUCUACUGCUGAAAGAGUGGUCCAGCUGCAAACAGACCCAGCACCGGGUUGAGAUGGAGGCAGUAAGCCUGGCUGUGGAGGCCAAGAGGGAUGCUCUGGAGAAGCUGAGGCUGGAGUGAGAGGAGCUCUACAAGGCAUCACUGAGGCCAAACCCCCUGCUCUUCCCUUUCAACCACCAGGGAUCCAGCUUCACGAGGCCCAGUAUGAGGCACCUGAGGGUUAAUACAACAUCACCAAAGUUUACACUCAGUGAGAGGGUGGGGGAUAUUAACAUUGUGGGCGUAAUACGUGUUGACAUGGUAGUUACAUCCAUGUUUUUACAUGAUUUGAACGGACAGACUAAAUAUUUGACGAGGAUGUUCAUGAAAGAAGAUUAAAGCUUGCUCAGAACAAGGGCCCGGGCACCAAUAGCGGGUGUGUCUCAUUCAAAGUAAGGGUAAUUUAACCGCUUACUGACCAUGACCUAUUCAUCGUAUUGACAACUGCCCUAGCAUGGAUACACAAGUUUCAAUUCACACUCAUGAAGUGAUUCACAUUCUGUAGUGUGUGCGUGCUGUAAUGUUACAUUCAUAGAUCUCAUAGGUUUAAAUAGUCUGUAAGUAAAACAUACCAGGGGGUUGAAAUAAAGGAUUCAUUUGUUUUAUUUGAAAUGCAUUUUUAUGAAUGCAACACUGUAGAUAAGGUAUCAUGUGAAAUAAUAAAGGCAAAGAUCCUGUGUAACGGUGUUA